rnacentral:rRNA from 1 species
CCCUUAGAUGUCCUGGGCUGCACGCGCGCUACACUGAUGUGUCCAGUAAGCACCUAACCUCUUCCGAAAGGAACGGGUAACCUUUGCAAAGCACAUCGUGAUGGGGAUAGAUUAUUGCAAUUAUUAGUCUUGAACGAGGAAUUCCUAGUAAGCACAAGUCAUCAGCUUGUGUUAAUUACGUCCCUGCCCUUUGUACACACCGCCCGUCGCUCCUACCGAUUGAAUGUUCCGGUGAGCUCUUCGGACUGCGCGGUCUGCAGUUUCUGCGUUCCGUGCGGAAAGUUGCGCAAACCUUAACAUUUAGAGGAAGGAGAAGUCGUAACA